rnacentral:rRNA from 1 species
UACAGGGGGUGCAAGCGUUGUUCGGAAUUAUUGGGCGUAAAGCGCGUGUAGGCGGCUUUGCAAGUCGGGUGUGAAAGCCCUCAGCUUAACUGAGGAAGUGCGCCCGAAACUGCAGAGCUUGAAUACCGGAGAGGAUGGCGGAAUUCCCCAAGUAGAGGUGAAAUUCGUAGAUAUGGGGAGGAACACCGGUGGCGAAGGCGGCCAUCUGGACGGCUAUUGACGCUGAGACGCGAAAGCGUGGGGAGCAAACAGG